GAAUAUUGUUUUUGUGGUGCACCUCAGAGCUAAACCCAGUCCGCCCCUGCAGACACUUUUCAACAUGAUCGUUUUUGUUGUGGGAGAAGACCUUCACGUUCUUCUAACAGCACUGCCAAGAGCGCAUCCGAAUUUUUUUAAAUCGGCCUAUAGGGAAGUACCUACUACCGCAUCAGAAGUAAUUUUUUCUUUACAAGUUUGCAAGGUGGACAAGUAGUGGUAGAUAACGCGUAUACUGUUUUUGCACGCGGUCGGCGGAUGCGAUAUUUCUUCAGCGAUCUUUAUCCAAGGAAAAGUCAAGUUCUUUAAUGUUUUCGAAAAGUUCAAAGCAUUUGCAUCGGACUGUAGGUACAGGUAUUUAAAGAAGUAGAUGUAGAUUCUGACACCAUAGCUGGGGCAGGAGAACAAUUCUUGGCCAAUUGUACGGGGUUGGACAGACACAACAUAUUUAACUUUUCUCCGAAAGUAACAGUUCACAAGAUCGGUUACCAAAAGUAAGUUCAAUUUUACCAGCACCUGGACGACACAGUGUAGGUAAAACACUGAUAUUACAUAGUUAUACCGUUGAGUGUAAAGUUAUACAUAAAAAUUGACUGUCUCAAUUUUUCAUGAAGGGGGUGCCCUGCUUUACCCCGUUUUCGUCGACCAUGGAAAUGAGUAUAUAAUUGAGUAGAUAUUUCGUACCUAAGUAAUAAGUGCAAUUUCCUGUGAAAGGGCUCGUUUUUGCGAUUUUAAAAAAUAUGCCACUUGUCGCAUCACUUUAAUAUAAUAGAAACUAUUUGUUUAAUGGAAAAAUGUUUCAGACAAAACUAGAGAAUUUAGUCCUCUACAGUUUGUGUAAUAGGUACUUUUUGGAUGGAAGCAUCCGAAGCCAAAAAACAGAUUUUCCCCGCCACUUUAUUAAAAUGGCGACGUUUCCCAGGACAGUGCGAUGUCACAAACUUAAUGUGUUGUUCAGGACACAAAACUGAACUAAAGCUAAAACUCCAUUGCCUGCACUAAUAUUGAAAUUGAAGGUACAAAGAUUAAUUGAAACCCCAUAAAUUUUUCCUUCGAAUCUAAAACUAUUCCUCAUUCUCCCGAACACGCUAUUUGUGAAAACUCCUUUUUUCGGUCCCUACAUGAAAACCGACGUCAAAUAUGUCCCCCUCGGUGGGACAUGUUCAGUGAAAAGGGCAUGACUAUGACGUUCCGUUCCCUAAUUUACUAACCGUGAAUCCUUUUUAGUGCGCCACCCUCUAUAUAUAAAGGUAAUUAGCCACGUGGUCAGGUGGCCUGCUCUGUUUCUCUUUAUCUAUACUGCAUUUAUAUAAUAUUAUUUAUUCGUCAUCUAAAAGCAUUCGCGAAUGAAUCGCCAGUAAGUGCGGUGUUUCCUACGUGUUCGGUUCGUGUGAUGCCCCGUGAAAGAGGGUGAGUUUUAUUGUUUACUUUUAUGAAAGAUUGGGUGGCUCAUCCAGAAGUUUUCCCUCUUUUCCUUGCAAAUAAAUAAGUGAAAAUACGCUCGGACACGUAAUCCAUAUAUUUUGCAUGAUUAGGGGUAUGGACGCGCAUUUUUAUGAAUAGAUGUAUUUAAUUGGUAUUUUAGUUUUUUGUUUAAAAAGGUAAACAUUUACUAUUAAUAGUUUUGAGUUUAUUGUUGUACCUUGUCCAUUUUAAAGGGAAUUAAAUUGUGUGAAAAAGUGAACAGCACAAUUCAAGUUAUGCUUAAAUGGAAUUGACUAAAUAUUCAUCAUCUGUAUUUUAAUACCUCGCAUGGAGUCAAGUGGCACAAAAUUUAGUGGUACACGUGUCGUGUGUUACGUCACUUAGGUAAUUUCAGACCUCGAGCAAAACCUACUCUUAGUUUUGAUUCUCGCUAAUUAACUAAUGUUUGUUGGAAAAAGUGCUAAUAUUGUUCCACAAGUGUAACUAGACUUUAAUUUGUACAGGGAUUUUGAAAUUGAUUACAAUACGUAAGCUUUAGGUAUGAAUGUAAUCGUGAACGAAAGCAAAUAUGUGUUUUUGCAAGGAUCUGUUUCAAUUCAAUCACCCAAGUUGGUAACUUAUUAUUUAACCGUGAGGAAGUUAAAAGGGAAUUAGCAAUAUAAACUAAUAAUCGCCAUUAGAAAUGCAAUUUUAUUAUACAUCUAAAUAGAAUAGGAUCAUCAGUGCUACUUUACGUAUGUAUAUUCGGAAUGAGGUAAUUGAAUGAGUCAUUGAAGAAUUAACAACCAGUUGGUAAGAGUUGCGCAGAGUUUAUAAACGAUUCGUCAUAGUACGGGUAAGCGCUUACAAGGACGAUAAAGUGGGGAUACUUAUAUAAAUAUAAGUGAAAAGCGAAAGUUAGGUCAUUCUCCGGGCAGUCUCAGACGCAGAAGGUGCGCCAGUUGUCGUGUGCCUUUGCAAGUGAAUCGUAUUCGUGGCGAUACUUGGAUGAAUGAAAGCGUAUCGAGAACUCCUAGUGCAUAAACAAUCAAUAACAAGGUACUUAUAAACAAUUAUCUGCGUCGUAGUCUUGCUCCACUGUUAAGUUGCUUUUAUGGUAGUUUGCCCAGUUGUAGAUUUUUUUUAAAUAGCGUCAGAGCCAUUGUAACUCACCGAUAUAUAUUAAUGUAAAUUAGGAUGGAAUGCGAAGUAUGAUUUUUGCGAAUGAGUGUGGUUUAACUAUUUGUCUUACAGGAUCGUUCCGUCUCCGUUUAUUAAAAUAUGUUCUCUGAGAAGUAGGAGAAAAGGUAAAUUUGUUACGUCGGUUACAUUUUCUAUACACAUCGAUUGAUCAAGGACUUAGAAACAAUUUUCAACGCCAACCGAGCAGUGGAGAUAGAAGAAUGCGCUGAUCUACUCUCCACUUGAUGUAUAAUGAGACAUAUCGCUGUGUACGAUUGGAAGGAGGUUUUUGUCGUCAUAAUCCUGUCUUUUCCGUAAAUUGUGGAAACAAGAGCCCGCAUUUUCCUGUGACGUCACAGUUACAUCAGCUGUUGCAGAUAAGAUCGCUGUGUAAGAUUGAAGGAAGUUUUUGUCGUCAUAAUCCCGUCUUUUCCGUAAAUUGUGGAAACCAGAGCCCGCAUUUUCCUGUGACGUCACAGUUACAUCAGCUGUUGCAGAUAAGGAUCGUUCCGUCUCCGUUUAUUAAAAUAUGUUCUCUGAGAAGUAGGAGAAAAGGUAAAUUUGUAACGUCGGUUACAUUUUCUAUACACAUCGAUUGAUCAAGGACUUAGAAACAAUUUUCAACGCCAACCGAGCAGUGGAGGUAGAAGAAUGCGCCGAUGUACUCUUCACUUGAUGUAUAAUGAGACAUAUCGCUGUGUAAGAUUGGAAGGAGGUUUUUGUCGUCAUAAUCCUGUCUUUUCCGUAAAUUGUGGAAACCAGAGCCCGCAUUUUCCUGUGACGUCACAGUUACAUCAGCUGUUGCAGAUAAGCGAAAUCCACCAAAAUGUGGGGGUAAUAUAAGUAUGCACCGAAGAAGGAAAUGCGGUAGCCUCCGACACGAUCUGAUGGUGAUGGCGUGAAAUCUUCAAACGCGCAUUGGAAGGGAACGGGAUAUCGGAAGUGGAUACCACCACAGGGAAUAUGGUAGCCCCCGACACGAUCUUCCUGAUGGCGGAGUCAAAUCUUCAAACACGCAUUGGAUGGGAACGGGACAUCAGAAGUGGAUACCGACAAAGGGAAUAUGGUAGCCCCCGACACGAUUUUCCUGAUGGCGGAGUCAAAUCUUCAAACACGCAUUGGAUGGG